rnacentral:rRNA from 1 species
CUCAGUAACACGUAGGUACCAACCCAUAUCUCUGAAAUAACUCCAAGAAAUUGGAAUUAAUGUCAGAUGUGAAGGAAACUUCAAAGAUUUAUCGGAUAUGGACGGGCCUGCGGCCUAUCAGUUAGUUGGUGGGGUAAUGGCCUACCAAGACUACGACGGGUACCGGGACUGAGAGGUUGAUCCGGCAGAGGGGCACUGAGACACGGGCCUCACUCCUACGGGAGGCAGCAGUAAGGAAUAUUGCGCAAUGGACGAAAGUCUGACGCAGCAACGCCGCGUGAAGGAUGAAGGUUUUCGGAUUGUAAACUUUGUUAUAAGCACCGGCUAACU